rnacentral:rRNA from 1 species
AUGUGUCUCCCGAAAAGCCAAGGCGGAAUGGGCUUUUGUGAUAUUCAUUGUUUUAAUUUGGCGAUGUUGGCUAAACAAGCUUGGCGUCUCCUUGAGAACCCAGAUUCCUUGUGUGCCACCAUUUUGCGAGCUAAGUAUUUCGCUGAUGGAGAUAUAUUGAACGCAAAGUUAAAAAAUGGAUCAUCUUUCACAUGGCAAAGUAUUAUGGCGGGGGUUAAUACCUUAAAACAUGGCUACAUUUGGCGAGUUGGAAAUGGUCAGAAAAUUGGUAUUUGGGAAUAUGCUUGGGUCCCUAACUGUGCUAACAGAAAAGUCAUCACUCCAAAGGGGCAACAUUUGUUAUCAAAAGUGUCGGAUUUCAUUGACCCCUCUUCGAACAGGUGGGAUGAGGAUCUCAUCAAACGUACCUUGUGGCCCGUUGAUUCACAGCGGGUCCUUGCUAUCCCUCUGCCUCAGUUUGAUAUGUCAGAUUUUGUUGCUUGGAGUCAUACUAAGAGUGGGAUUUUUUCUGUUCGAUCUGCAUAUUUUGUUGAGUGGGGUUAUCAACAUGGAAGGAAACUUCGUCGUACCAAUGGAAUGGGUCGAACAAACUUUAAUCCAAUUUGGUGUAAGAUUUGGAAGUUAUCUUGUCCAAGGAAGGUGAAUUUUUUUCUUUGCGGACUGCAUGGUACUCUUCCAUGUCGUGUUACGCUUGCUAAUAGACACAUGAAAGUUUCAUCUUUAUGUCCUUGUGCUUCUAGUUUAGAAUACACAAAGCAUUUGUUGUUUCAAUGCCAGAAGGCAAGAGGUAUGGAGAGGCUUGGCUUAGACGGGAUCAUUGCUCAAGCUUUGUGA